UCACAAUAAUUUAACACAUACAACAAAAUUAAAGACAGCAAGAUAGAAAAAUCACCAGUUCUUGGCCCAAAGCGGCUUGAAAUGCACUGUCAAGCAGCAGAUCUUCCCCCCUCUAUACAUCUGAACCAAUCCAAAAUUACCCAGAAAUUAACGGACUUAAAUUACAAUCAGAAAACAAAAAUGGGGGAAGAGGGAAAAUCGUAAAAUCAAAAUAAGGCCGACCUUUUGGUCUCUUGCCGUCUAGUUAGGGAGCUCGAGUUCAGGUGCGGUGGCGGGGUAGGUGAUGGAGAUAUUGAACUGGAGAUCGAACUCGUACUUGAGGAGGUGUAGACGUACCAGCACUUGCCAGUCCAUCGUGUACCCUUGGGAUUGGCAGCGGAGAUUCGGAACCAAUCGUUGUCGUUGGACUUGUUCAUCUGGGUGUAUUCGAACCUUGAAAUAUCCAAGAACGAUGUGAACUGGCUGAAAACAAUUCCCUUUGCAGACCCAUCCUUUUCAAACAUGGAUCUGACCACAAUCAUUAAAUUAAAUAUGCAAAUAAUGAGAUUGAAUGUGCCAGAAAUAGAGCGAAAUUGACGGCGGCGCGAGCUUGGCCGAGGUGGAGGCGUGUGAAAUUCUUUUGGAUGAAGGCAGAAAUAGAGAGAAAUCGAGAGAUGGUGUUGGGAAUGAGAGACAGAGGGUUUGAGAGAGUGAUUGAAGAUCGAGAGAGAGAGGAGGCUCAAGGCUCAGGGCUCAGGCUGCUACGCGAGAUGUGAGGCCAUCUUCAACCGAAGGCUGGACAGAUGACUCGUUUUAGCGUUCUUCAAGAUUCUUUAAGAUAUCAAAUAUUUUAAUGAAUAAUAUAGAACUAUAUUUGCCUCCGUAUCUAACCGAGAGCCAGAUGGCUCGUUUUAGCCCUUUUACAUAAAACCGUCUCCAUCCGAGGGCCAAAGGGCAAUAGUGCCAAACAUAAUUUAUUAUUUAAAAACUACAACUUAAAUUCAAAUUCAACCACAAACAAGUACCUACAACAAAAUCUUGUUGCACAUCUUUGGGCCCAAAGAAGCAUGGAGUAGACAUUUACGUUUUAUGUUUUUAAAUGUUUUUAAAAAUGUUGUUUAAGUUUCAUGUUGUAUAAUUUUUAUGUUGGUUAAUGUUAUUUAAUGUUGUUUCAUGUUAUUUAAUUUAAUUUAAUGUUGUAUAAUGACUUAGGAAGUUAUAGGAAAAAAAUAGAAUUUAAAAAAAAAAAAUAUGAAACAAAUUUUGUGAAAUAGAAGUUAAAGAAAAAAAUGGAAUUUAAAAAAAAUAUGAAACAAAUUUUGUGAAAUAGAAGUUAUAGAAAAUAUGAAACAAAUUUUGUGAAAUAGAAGUUAUAGGAAAAAAAAUAGAAUUUAAAAAAAAUAUGAAACAAAUUUUGUGAAAUAUAAGUUAUAGGAAACAAAUGAAGGAACUUAUUGAAGGAAAUUAUUGAAAAAAUAUUAAAGGAAAUUAUUGAAAAAUUGAAACAAAUAUUAUAGAUGAAGGAAAUAUUGGAAAAUAUAUUGAAGGAGAUAUUGAAGGAAAUAUUGAGAAAUAUAUUGAAGGCAAUAUUGAAAAAUAUUGAAGAAGGAAAUAUUGGAAAAUAUAUUGAAGGAAAACCCAACGGCUAGCUGCAACAGCUAGCUAACUCAGCUAGUCGUUAUAUUGAAAAAAAUUUCAAACUAUUAGUGUCGGUUAUAACCGACACUAAUAGUAAAUAAAAAAAAAUUUGCCUAUGAAUACCUAUUACUGUCGAUUAUAACCGACAGUAUUAAAAAAUCAUUCCUUAAUGCUGUCGGUUAUAAGUGACAACAAUAGGAAAACUAUAAAAAAAAAAAAUAGCCAGCCCUUUAGCCCUUUGGCCCUUUAAAAUUCCAUGGGGCCGUCCCAGAUUCCCAAGCCCUCUGGCCUAACCCUCGGCUGGAGACGGUUUUAGGGUUAUUUUCGGCCCUCUGGACCCUUCGGUUGGAAAUGGCCUGAGAGACCGAGUGAGACCAAAU
rnacentral:lncRNA from 1 species